CCUACGGGAGGCAGCAGUGAGGAAUAUUGGUCAAUGGACGAGAGUCUGAACCAGCCAAGUAGCGUGAAGGAUGACUGCCCUAUGGGUUGUAAACUUCUUUUAUAUGGGAAUAAAAUGUUCCACGUGUGGGUUUUUGUAUGUACCAUAUGAAUAAGGAUCGGCUAACUCCGUGCCAGCAGCCGCGGUAAUACGGAGGAUCCGAGCGUUAUCCGGAUUUAUUGGGUUUAAAGGGAGCGUAGGUGGAUUGUUAAGUCAGUUGUGAAAGUUUGCGGCUCAACCGUAAAAUUGCAGUUGAAACUGGCAGUCUUGAGUACAGUAGAGGUGGGCGGAAUUCGGGGUGUAGCGGUGAAAUGCUUAGAUAUCACGAAGAACUCCGAUUGCGAAGGCAGCUCACUGGACUGCAACUGACACUGAGGCUCGAAAGUGUGGGUAUCAAACAGGAUUAGAUACCCCAGUAGUC
rnacentral:rRNA from 1 species